GACGAACGCUGGCGGCGUGCUUAACACAUGCAAGUCGAACGGAAAGGCCCUUCGGGGUACUCGAGUGGCGAACGGGUGAGUAACACGUGGGUGAUCUGCCCUGCACUUUGGGAUAAGCCUGGGAAACUGGGUCUAAUACCGAAUAGGACCACGCGCUUCAUGGUGUGUGGUGGAAAGCUUUUGCGGUGUGGGAUGGGCCCGCGGCCUAUCAGCUUGUUGGUGGGGUAAUGGCCUACCAAGGCGACGACGGGUAGCCGGCCUGAGAGGGUGACCGGCCACACUGGGACUGAGAUACGGCCCAGACUCCUACGGGAGGCAGCAGUGGGGAAUAUUGCACAAUGGGAGCAAGCCUGAUGCAGCGACGCGGCGUGAGGGAUGACGGCCUUCGGGUUGUAAACCUCUUUCAAUAGGGACGAAGCGAAAGUGACGGUACCUAUAGAAGAAGCACCGGCCAACUACGUG
rnacentral:rRNA from 1 species